AAUUUUAUGAAUAAAAUGGAGGGUCCUAUGCGGUUCCAGAUCAUGGUUUUUUGAAGUAAAGUGAUAGCAUUUGCUGGGGAAUCCACGCUAUAACUACAAGCUUUAGCUCAGCAGUACUAAAAGCUCAAUAGUACUAGAAUCGUUUUUAGUUAGAGCCAAUUGUACUAAAGAAAAAAGAUAGGAGAUUUAGAGGAAAUUGCAGAAAAUUUGGAAUUAAAAAAAAAUGCAAAGCUGGCUCGCAAGAACUAAAAGAAAAAGAGAGAAAUUGUUUGUAUUUGUUUCAAAAUCCUUGUUGAAUGAAGCAAGUUCACCACCUGGAUAAUUCACUCAAAAAGUUGUGUGAGAUUUCUAUGCCGAUGCAGCAAGCAAGAGAUGUUAUUCAGAUUUCGAUGGAGAUCAAAUAUGUUAAGGGCGGGGGCUUGGUGAAUCAGAAUCCUGAGGAGUUGGGAGGCCUUAAUGAAGGGGCCAAGACUAUAGAAGUGAUAAACAUUUUGAAGGAGUUGUUAAAAGCUGUGCGGGAUGCAAAGAUGGAAGCAGAAAUUUAUGGUUCUGUCUGGCAAAGCAUGGAAUCUAAUCUAGGAUCUUGCAUAAGGAAGACAGAAGAGUCAAACCAGGUAACAUAUCAUGCAAAUGAGAAAAUAAAUAACGGGAAGCAGCUUGUUAACAUGUGUGUAUCGGAAACAUAUUUCUGUUCCUGCUUCAAAAAGCCUAAAUGCUUCCAAAAGCCUACAUACAUGAAUGAACUUCAGGACUUAGACAAUACACUGAGAAGGUUCUGUCAGCGAGUUGAACAAGAAGCAAGGAAACCACCUGAUAACCGAGUGGCGACAGGACAAAAUGUGAACCCAGCAAAAGUCAUUCAUGGAGGGUUGGGGGUGAAGCCAGGUGGGGAUAUGAAAGACAGUGAGAUGGAAAAUAAUGAGAAAAAGAAAGAAACUCAUGCGGAAGGUAAAAACAUCCAUCAGGAGGAGAAAAAAAGCUACGGGGAAAUUCACGAGUCAUAUCUAACUGAUCAGAAGAUCAAUGGAGUGUCUACUAAGACUGCACCUUCUGUUGAUGACAAUGAACGCCAAUCUGUUCCUCGGCAGGUUGUGCCCCCUAGGCCUGAGCAGUCACUAAUCCAUGUACCAGGUGAAUCAAGGGAUUCAAAAUUAAAGCAGCAACGUGAAAAGCAAACCCAAAAGCCAAUAAACCUAAAGGACAAUGAGCCAAUAAACCCAAUGGACAAUGACUCUGUGUCUUCACAUUCAGAUGGGCUUGUAAAGCAAUCGAAGGAGAAAGAUGUUCGCAAGGAAGUUGAGCGGUCAAAUCCAAGCCAAAAGUUUGGUUUAGUGCCAAACCACAAUUCAUCUUCGCAUCCAAGGCAGCCACCAGAGACAAAAGGCAUUGGUGAGAAGACUGGAUCAUCAGGUCCAACUGUGAACAGUCAUCCGAUGUCAAAUGAUGAUGUAUCUUCAAUUCCCAUUUUGCCUCCUAAAACAACUGUUGGGUGGGACACAUCGAAGAAAUUCACGAAGGAAUCACCAAUGGAUGGAGCUUCUGCAGUUGUAUCAUCUGCUCCCUUAGGAUUUGGAGAGAUCCCUUUGGCUAAAGAACGUUUCCGAAAUGAGGUUCAUGGAUUAAAUUUUGCAAGAUUGCGAUAUAACGCCGAAACAAGCCUCAGCUAUUGCAAAUUAACCGGAAUCCAAAAUUUCUUUGUGAAGUUAAUAGCUCACAAUAAUCACUAACGCUGAGAUUUCUCAGGUGUACAGGAUCACAAAACCAAGCCGGCCGAGGCAGGUUCAACAAAUAUACUGUCAUAGCCAAUGUUGAUCUUCGCCAGAUUUGUGAACUGUACAAAAGUCAAACUAAGGAAUUAACAUUCUCCAAUCUAAUUUGAAGAAAAAGAUUGCUAAUUUUAGCUGGUAAGAAACUUGAGUCUUUGACUACUAAGAUCCUGUAAUCUACGGAUUCUUCUUGAAUUGUGGCAACUGUGAAAGAUCAGAUGUUGAAGUUACAAAUUUCUUGAGAAAGUUUAUCUGUAAAGGAUAGGGAAGUGCUUGCUUUUUUUUUUGUUGCAAAAUUGGGGCUGCAGCCCCAAAACCUGCUUGUGCAUUUCUCCAAUACAUAUUCACUUCAGCUUUUUUUAGCUUAAGCAUUAUUUACUCCACUUUUUUAAACAGCUCAAUUAUGAAAAUGUCACAUGAUACAUCUCAAAUCUUCUUGUAAAGUAAAAUUAAGAUAUCCUUUAAAUCAUAAUCAGUAGAUCG
rnacentral:misc_RNA from 1 species